rnacentral:rRNA from 1 species
GACGAACGCUGGCGGCGUGCUUAACACAUGCAAGUCGAACGGUGAAGCGCCUUCCUUUUUGGUGGGUGGGGAGGAGUGGCGAAGGGGUGAGUAACACGUGAGUAACCUGCCCCCUCCUGCUGGACAACCGCAUGAAAGUGUGGCUAAUACAGGAUAUUCUGGGUCUGUCGCAUGAUGGGUCUGGGACGGAUAUUGUGUCGGUGGGAGAUGGGCCCGCGGCCUAUCAGCUUGUUGGUGGGGUGAUGGCCUACCAAGGCGGUGACGGGUAGCCGGCCUGAGAGGGUCGACCGCCACGCUGGUGAUGCGACACGGACCAGACUCCGGCGGGAGGCAGCAGUGGAGAUUCGUGCACGGUGGGCGGAAGGCUGAUGCAGCGACGCCGCGGGAGGGAUGGAGGCCGUCGGGUUGUGCUCCGCUUUCGCCAGUGAAGCAGGCCUGCCUCGUUUGUGGGUGGGUUGACGGUAGCUGGAUAAGAAGCGCCGGCUAACUACGUG